AAUAUUGCGCAAUGGGGGAAACCCUGACGCAGCGACGCCGCGUGGGUGAUGAAGGCCUUCGGGUCGUAAAGCCCUGUCGAGGGGGAAGAAGGACUGUCGCGCGAAUAGUGCGACGGUUUGACGGUACCCCUAAAGGAAGCACCGGCUAACUCCGUGCCAGCCGCCGCGGUAAUACGGAGGGUGCAAGCGUUGCUCGGAAUCACUGGGCGUAAAGGGCGUGUAGGCGGUUUCGUAUGUCUGACGUGAAAGCCCCGGGCUUACCCCGGGAAGUGCGUUGGAAACUGCGAGACUAGAGUCCCGGAGAGGAAGGUGGAAUUCCAGGUGUAGCGGUGAAAUGCGUAGAUAUCUGGAAGAACACCGGUGGCGAAGGCGGCCUUCUGGACGGUGACUGACGCUGAGACGCGAAAGCGUGGGGAGCAAACAGG
rnacentral:rRNA from 1 species